UAGGGACCGGGGCGUCGCGGCGAGACGCCUUUCCUCGGGGGGGGGUGCGGGGGGGCGCCCACCUCCUCCGUGUCGGCCGGAGGGUCUGCAACAGCGGGUGGAAUUUUUAGCACAAGCGAGGGAGGAGGUUGGAGCGACGAGAGGCGGGAGCGGAAAGGGCGCGGAGGCCGGGGCUGCAGCGCGCUCCACCGCCCAGCUGCAGGUGGCGCCUCUCGCCACCCGCACCCCGCUGCGCCCAGGGAAGGGCCGAUGGCGCGCCGUCCUCCCUCCUCCCUUCGGGAAGCCUGCGACGUCCCAUCCCCUCCGACGCAGGCCCGGGAAAGGCUCAAAAGGUUCGAGGUCGCGUUCCUGCUAUCCCGCGGGCUUCUCUCACUCUUAGAUCCCGCACCAGAGGAAGCGGAUCUCCUUGAGUGGGCAAAGCAGGGGUGAGGGGCUGGGGGCAGUUCCACUGACAACGGGACGGGGGCGAGAGGGGUUUACCCAGUACAUACAGAAACAGCAGAAAAGAAAUCUAUUUUUAAUGGCUUUGGCUUUAUAGCACGAAGCAGGCACCCUCUCGUUAAAGGCACACAGUCCUCUCUUCUGCCCCACCUCCUGGGUCCUUAAAAUCGAGUCCUGAGUUCCAGAGGGGUCACUGCAAGGCAGCAGGGAAGGGAGAGGGUCACAGUUUCACUCUGUGAGUAUCAGACACCCAGGGCCAAGGCCCAGACUGGCCUCUGAAGCUACAGGUUAGAGUCUGGGUACAGGAGGCAGCCGAGAUGGUCCCUGAGAACAGACAGUCCCGGUCCCCCGGAGCAAGCUCCAUCCUCUGCAGAGCUGUGAGGUCAGUGCCCCACAUCCUGGGGCAACGUGAAGUCCCUGAAGCUGUAGAAGGAGAUGUCACCAUGAUCCACCAGGGCAAAGAUCAGAGGGACAUCCCCACUCUGGUACUGCAGAGACGGCACUGCUUGGAAACUUACCGGGCACCUCCAUCAGGAAGGUGUGUUGUCUGCAGCACAGAGAUAUGCUGAAGGACCACGGCUACAAGGACACAGAAAACAAGGUACUGGGGAGGGGAGUCACAUUUCUCAGUCUGCCAUCUAGUUUAGGACGGCCAGAUUUAGCAACUUUUUUUUUUAAACGGAGUCUCACUCUGUCACCCAGGCUGGAGUAUAGUGGCGUGAUCUUGGCUCACUGUGACCUCUGCCUCCCAGGUUCAAGCAAUUCUCCUGUCUCAGCCUCCUGAGUAGCUGGGAUUAUAAGUGUGCACCACCACACCCGGCUAAUUUUUGUAUUUUUAGUAGAGAUGGUUUCACCAUGUUGCCCAGGUUGGUCUCGAACUCCUGACCUCAGGUGAUCU
rnacentral:lncRNA from 1 species